AACGCGCAACACAGACAGGAACGUAACUGCUCUCAGACUGUCUGGAGUCUGUCUGAAACUGAUAAAAUUGGAGAUGGAGUUAAUGCUCUAGCUAUGUAAAUUGAUAAGAAAUCAUGAAUUCGAAAUGGGAAUUUACAGUCACUCAACAAUGCUAGCGAUUGAAUUACGACGCAAUACAAAUCAAUAUUUAGGCUCAUGCUUUGAAAGUUUUUCAAUGUUUAUCAUCAGACAAUUCAUUAUGCACAGGUAUGAUCUUCUUCGGGUUCUGAAAAGAAGCCUAUCAGCUGAAGUUUAAGCGUAACGUGGCAUUUCAAUGGAGCAAUUAUUUGAAAGGGGCCCUUAUGACACCUUGAACCCUGUCGAUAACCCUCCCCCCAUGUCUGUAGUGAUGACACUUUUCCAGGGAUGAUGUGUGAGAGGAGGAUGGCUGUGGUGUGCACCACGAAGAAGAUGUCAUGCUGAGGAUGGGUUUCUGCACUGAUGUUUUUGGUGUGAUGUAGCGGCGGCUCUCUCACUGUGUCUCUGUUGCCCAUGAUGCGUAACCAUAGAGAGUGAUUGACAGCGUGGUCCCUACACAGCAAAGGGGGCCUGAGGAUUUUCUGAGACGUCACAAGAAGUUACUGCCAUGGAUUGAGAACCUCAACUACAAAAGGUGACGAUGCACAGAGAAGGAUUUGUGAAUGGAAGCUGUUCACGGUCUAUGCUAGAUCAUAGAUCACAUGUGCUGUGAGACCGUUGCAGUGGUGUAAAGUACUUAAGUAAAACUACUUUAAAGUACUUAAAGUAAAGUACUACUUAAAGUACUACUUUACUAUUUAUAUUUUUGCCAACUUUUACUUUUACUUCACUACAUUCCUAAAGAAAAUAAUGUACUUUUUAUUCCAAACAUUUUCCCUAACACCCAAAAGUACUCGUUACAUUUUGACAGGAAAAUUGUCAAAUUUACACACUUAUCAAGAGAACAUCCCUGGUCAUCCCUACUGCCUCAUAUCUGGCGGACUCACUAAACACAAAUGCUCCAUUUGUAAAUUGUGUCUGAGUGUUGGAGUGUGCCCCUGGCUAUCCAUCCCCCCAAAAUAACUGUGCUGUCUGGUUUGCUUAAUAUAAGGAAUUUGAAAUGGUUUAUACUUUUACUUUUGAUACUUAAGUAUAUUUAAAACCAAAUACUUUUAGACUUUUACUCAAGUGGGAUUUUACUGGGUGACUCACUUUUACUUGAUUCAUUUUCUAUUAAGGUAUCUUUACUUUUACUGAAGUAUGACAAUUGAAUACAUUUUCCACAACUGGACCGUUGCAGAUGUGCAUUAUUCGCCACCCUCCCUCUGCCACCCUCCCUCUCCCUCUCCCACCCCGGUUACCGUUCCUCCCUAUGAAUGGGGUCGCUAAGAUAUCAGCUCUGUCACCGGGGUCGGCCCAAAGCCGCCAGCUUCCUGUGCCCUUUAAAACCGGAAAGCACGUCUCUCCCAUUUGAAUAAUCUGUAUAAUUUCUGUGGUUUGUCUCGGUGAGAGCUGUUUUUUUUCUUCAUCCUAGGUCACUCAAGAGCAGAACAGUAAUAUCACAGUCAAAUCCACACGCCAUCAAUCCCGGCCUAAAACAUCCCCGUCUUUGUUUUUGCCUAUUCUUAGUAGCCUAACUGAGUGUUUUCAGAUUUCUCUGAAAUUACAUUUACAUUUACAUUUAAGUCAUUUAGCAGACGCUCUUAUCCAGAGCGACUUACAACUUGGAAAGUUCAUACAUAUUCAUCCUGGUCCCCCCGUGGGAAUUGAACCCACAACCCUGGCGUUGCAAGCGCCAUGCUCUACCAACUGAGCCACACGGGACCGAAAUAUGAAAUAUGAAAUAUGACCUAUAACUAAUUACAACAUGAGUAAAAUAGUUUUCCUUCCAAUUUUUUUAAAUGAAAUAUGUUAAAACGCAGGUUUCAUGUGUUUGAAUGGUGUGGGCAUACCCUACCACAACAACAGAAUGAUUUGGGCAUAUAAGGCUACCUGUCAUGAAAAAUAUUUAAUGCGAGUAGACCGCUGAUUGAGCAGCUCAGCCAAUGAGCAACAUGAGCCGCCAUGUUCUAUGAGGAAGCAUUUUUUAAACGUCUGUUUGAGAUUUUGCAGGUUAGCGUUUUUCGAGUCUUGUUCUGGAGGCAGCUCUGCAGUGUGGUUACUAGUAGGCCCAACCACAAAGUAAUAAAAUCACAUUUUAAACCUAAAGUACACUGCUAACCCUAAUGCCUAACCAUAACCUGAAAUUAUGACCAACAAGUUUAAUUCUGUUUCUUGCAUUUUUACAAUAUUGUCAAUUUUUACUUUGCAGCUUGCCCAUCUAGCGGGAAUCGAUCAGUUCUGCCUCAAGGACAAGACUCAUCCCAAUAAACGUCAACCUGCGUUUGAGAUACAUGUUUAUUUGUGGUGAGGUUUUUUAAGUGUGUUUUUUUUCUUCUUCAAUUUAUGUUUUGGUCACAAAAACUAGUAUAGGACGAGUCAACAACAUUAUUUGGGUAUGAGUUCACAAAAUGUUAACUUUUAAAAGUGAUGUUUUCAUUGGACAGUUUACUUUAACUCAAAGUUAAUCAAAGGUGGAGUGUAGUCUGUGUGACGGGACCAGAGGUUAUAGCAUAUAUUGAAGCUCCAAAAUCCAGCUUCGAUUCUUUACCCUAUAUGUAGCCUAAAUUGUUGAAGGGUGUCCCGUCCCCGUCCUUUGUUUUAGGAUAAAUGUUUCCUCAAGCACACGGACCGCGUCACCGUCGGGGUCGUGCCAACCGAAUGGAGAUCAUUUAUAGGUUCAAUAACUCUUAAUCCGUCUGAUCGCCCUGGUGUAGAUAAGCCUCCUUUGAAUUGGGAUUGUUCUGGAAUCUGUUCGGAUUUCGGCAUAGAGGUCCUAAUUGAGUUUACCGCAUCCCUGACUGCUGCAUCCCCCGAACACAAUUAAGGUCUUGCUCAGAUAAAGCUAACUGAACGCAGGUCCCGUCUAGAAAGAAUGCACUUUUUCAACAGUAUAUUCGUUAGACGUUUAUCUCUUUGGGGAAGAUGAUGUGUAAUGAAACGUUAUAAUGGCGUAUAGCCUAUACAUCAAACUAUAAACUGCAAUGCUAUAUUGACUGAUGCGACCAACAAAGUUUUAUUUUAUUUUUUAUUCUUAUUUACAUAUUUUAAAUACGUUUUUUGAGAUUAAGAUGCAGACAAUUUUUGGGGGUAAACAAUUUCUAGCUUUGGUAAAGUCAGUGUUCUCUAUUUAAAGUUUAGAGCCACAAGAAACACAAUAAGUAUGGUGGUAAUAUGGCCCAUAUUUGAAACUUACACACUUUCGUUCCUUCCUUAACUGAAGUAGGCCAAGCCUAUCCUAAAAAGUGCCAUGGAUGUAGGUCUAAAAUCAAUGCCAAACAAGAAAUGCUGUGCUAGGCCUAUAUGUUAAAGGGGCCAGUAUGCUGCUAACAGCUUUGCUUCCUUCACUGUCCGACUGCCACAUACUGGUUUCGAACCAGUGAUCCUCUGCUUCGCAUCGCCUUGACAACGUUCCAACGGGUUGAGCCACCCAAAAGGUACCAAUUGGACGGCUCCAUCCGCAAUAUUUGUGGAGUGAGCUCAAUGUAGAGUCUUAACUCUGUUACACAUGCCACCCAAAAGGUACCAAUUGGACGGCUCCAUCCGCAAUAUUUGUGGAGUGAGCUUAAUGUAGAGUCUUAACUCUGUUACACAUGAUGAAUUUAAACCUGAGAUCACACGCAUUUUUCUUUAAUUGACGGUGAAUGUUUUUCGCUGUCAAUCAAUACUCAACGCAAAGACAACAGGCUUGUAAUUUUUUUUUUUUUUGCAAAAGCAUCAGGCUAUGAUUUUAGGUCUAAUUUGAUAUUCUUCUAAUGUGGUCAGAAAUCCUGUUAAAGUUGUGAAAAUAUAUUAUCACAAAUGUGUUCCAAAAGAAUACAGAAGGCUGAGCUGUCAUUGUCAUAUGCGUUUCUAUUUAUGACAAUUGAACCAAGAACUUAUAAUAAUUAUUUCUAAAAUAAAUGGAGCUUAUUUCAGUAUGAACAGUGUUGUAUUCAAUCGAGGUAUAUCAUACCACAAAUAUGUCUAUGUGUAAAAAUAUAGGAUUACAUUUACUAAUUUAAGUUUUAAUGUCAGGGUCAAAUGCAGGUAACACUUUACAUAUUUAGUCUAUUGUGUUUUUCGUCCUGAUUCAGAAUAUUGUUUUUGUUGCAGUGCAUUUUGAUAAUCAAGUAUAUAUAACACUUAUCAGUUAAUAGUUUGAGUUCCACUCAUAGCCUUUAAUAAGGAAACUUUGUAUGGGCCAUAAAUGUUUGGUGAUAAAAAGUAGCCUACUAGUCUACAGUGUGGCCUAAUGGAAAGGUUUUGGAUUAGCUUGAGUGCUAUGUAGUUUACUUUUAGUAACAUUUGACUAAAUUGCUAUAAUUUUUUUAAUUAAAGAUUUAUUGGACUUGUAGGCCGAUUUCACCACCACUCUUGGAGCCUUGCCAUGUUGACGUUUGUAUUCUCCAAUGGUAACACAUAGGCAUAUAUAACAUGAACACCAAAGCUCGCCUAUACACAUCUACGUUUAUACAGCCGGACAGCCAGACGUUCCACGUGUCACGACGUCUUACUUGUGACAGUAAAGAAUAAACACCACGUGGUGGCUAUUUCCACGAGGUUAAUGGCUUUAGACUCUGUCAUAUAGAACAGAUAGCAUGCAAGGGGACGGGGCACUUUAUGAACUUGAUUAAUGGAAAUUGGCACUGAAUAUUUGCUCACUAAUAAAACCACGUCGAGAUGAACAAUAUACCCAUGUAAUGUAAACAUGCUGAAAGAUCGACUGCACACAAGUCCAACAUCAAUAAAGUAGAGGUAUUUUGGGUUACCUGUUCCAACUUCUAUAACUUCUAUGGCGGGCUACCGCCCACGCAUAUGGCCCUUGAAUGUUAUACUGCAGUAUCCCGAUGCCUCGCGCGUUUUAGAUGGUCGAAAUGCCUCGUGCACCUGUCCAAGGGGGUCUGCAAUUGAUUACAAGGGACCACGACAAGUGGACAGCUGGGGAAGCUUGUUACUCAAAAGCCACUUCCACAAGACGAUUAACUCAAUGCAUUGGUAACGGCAACUUUAAAGUUGCUAAAAUGGUGUAAAAAGUUGUAAUUUUGUAAAGUAAUUAGGCCUACAGUAUGCAUAAAGGAUUUGCGUAAACCAUUAUCAUAGGUUAUCGAUAAUGGUUAUGCGUAAAAGUUAUUGGCAACUAUCGAAUAUGUAUGUGCACUGAGAGUUCGGCUAUAGGCGUAAUUACUCAGCUGUUUUGCACCCGACCUGGCCAUUCGACAUUAUAGGUAUUAAAACGUUUGCGAUAGUAACUCCAACACAUCAACAAUAAAACACGAAUGUUUUUUUAUAUUUCCACUAGAGAUAUAUUUUAGCUUCAAGCUCAGGUAUAGCCUUAUACAUUUAUAUAGGCCUAAACGCAAAUUAAUUAAUUAGCCUAAAGCAUGUGUAAAGGUUAAUGUAACAGCACUGUGGAAUCAAAAAAGGAAAAUAGCAUAAAGGGACAAUUUUAUCCGAACCUUAUUAGUGCGUCCGUGUCUGUUUUGGACAAGCACUCUCUCAUCGAAUGUCUCAUCCAGUCACAAAUGUGAGUGGCCAGUUGCGAUAUGCUUUUAAGUCCAGUUUACUUGAACUUAGGAAAGAGGUCAAUCGUUAUGAGAGGCUAUUCGAACCCUCUUCUUGUGUGGCAUCAUGCCCCUGCACUGUCCCCAGUUGUAACUGACCGAAAUAGUGCUGCAGGAUCUCAUGAAAGCACAUUGCUCGAUGACGCACCUUUCACCCCUCUCUCCACCGGAAUUGUUUUUACCCCCAACGGUGAAAUGUGGUGAUGGUGACUUUUACAUCGACAGGUGGUAUUCGUAAAUGACCUCAUUUCACAACGAUGUUUCAUUACAACUGGUGUCAGAAGUGAGAUUAUUAUUAUUGUCUGAUUUAUAACUCUUGAGUGACUUUAAAGAUGAUUUUCGUGAUCAUAAGUCAUUUUACAGGUGAUAAACUGGGUAGCAUAUACUAUUCUUGAAUUUGACAUGUGUUGCAUAUGUUAAUACCAUAUGUCACACUUUAAACGAACUAUAACUCAAAAAGCUUUACAGGGCUUAACUUCUCAAGAGCACAACCAUAAAUGUUUUACAAAAAAUCCACGUUGACCUAAAUUGUUUCUAAGAAAUUCAUGAAAAGGCAGAGAUGGGAUUGGAAUUUUGUUGCCAAAAAUAAACCAUUGUGAAGGUUUUGUUACUAACACAAUCGGCGCUGAAGUAAUUCUGAAACUUUUAUAAACUUUUUAGGGGUGUUUUUAUGCUGAGAACUCAAGUGAGAUUUCUAAUCCAGUACACAUGGGCAAUAAAGUAUUAACUAACUUUCUGCACCGGUGCAUGCUUGCCGGGCGUGUGUUCGUUAUAUCAAUGACCAAUAAAAUAUCACUCAAUUAUGAAUCCA